UUCUCCUGCAGCUGUGUGUAAUGCUUUUGUCACACCAACCCGACGGCCGACCGUUGGCAGAAAAGGCAGUUGGAAUGAUAAGUCGGCUCCCCAAAGACGAAAAAGUGCCUCGGAACACACCAAAGCGACGCCGACUUGAGCAUACGUUCUGCGCAAGA